UUAUUUUUUUUUACUUCCCCAGUAAAAUUUUCUUAGAAAAUUAAGUUCUAUAGGGUCUUGUCGUCCUAAAAUUACAUUUAAGUCUUUUAACUUAAAUGAAAAAUUUAAUUUUUUAUUUAAGAAAGAUUUAUUUUCGUUUUACCUUUCAUUCUAUCCCUCAAUUAAAGGGCAACUUAUUAUGCUACCUUAGCUUUUGGCUGUUUAAAAUUUUCACUGAGCAGGUUUUACUUCUAAUAAAUUCUUGAAGCAAUGUUUUUGUUAAACAUUCGAAAUAACUAUUUGCCGA
rnacentral:misc_RNA from 1 species